rnacentral:misc_RNA from 1 species
UCCAGACAGCUAAAAUCAGUGGAUAAACCCUAGACCUCCAUAUCCAUUUCUCCUUCUUCUACGUAUCUGGUAUGCUCUUUCUAGGGUUAAUUUCCCCUAUUUUGUUCUUCCACAAUCUAAUCACUGAGCUCAGCUCUGUAUUGGGUUUUUCCUCCUCCCGUAAUUAGUCUUGAUUUUUGUGACUAAGCAGUAAGCAGUGAUUUUCUGUUGCAUGAACCCAAACUUCUGUGCCUGAUUUUGGAUUCUGAUAACCGACGGCAAUGGCUUCUCUCUUCAAGGAUCCGUCUAAACUUUCUGCAUAUCGGGAUAGAAAGUUUCCUGGAAAUCAAGAGGAAUUUGAACAUGCGCUUCAGACCUCGAUUACUGUUUACAUUGGGAACAUGUCGUUCUACACUACAGAAGAGCAAGUUUACGAACUUUUCUCCCGAGCUGGAGAAAUUAAGAAGAUAAUUAUGGGAUUAGAUAAGAACACGAAAACUCCUUGUGGUUUUUGCUUCGUCUUGUACUAUUCUAGAGAAGAUUGUGAGGAUGCAGUAAAGUAUAUUAGUGGCACAAUUCUUGAUGAUCGUCCUAUUCGUGUGGAUUUUGACUGGGGAUUUCAGGAAGGAAGGCAAUGGGGCCGUGGUCGAAGUGGUGGACAGGUUAGAGAUGAGUAUCGUACAGACUAUGAUCCUGAUAUCCUUUCGUUGUGUUAUUUUUAAAUGCUCUAUUUCAAUGUUUAUGUUAUUUUCUUUCACCAUGAUCUGGUUAAAAUUGCAUGUUAUUUUCUGCGAGAAUAGAUGGUUUUGAAGCCCUUCGUUGUUCUUGCAAUUUAACAGGGUUAUUCUAGUGUUGACACUAGGAACUAGAUCCCUGCCGGAUCAGCAAGUGAUAAGAAUUACCCAGGCAAACAGCUUAUCAGUAUUACUGUUCUCAAAUGGUUUUGGUUUCCUGUCAAGUUGUACACGGUUCCUUUGACUGAAUCAUCUAUUGUCUUUUUAAAUGAUCCAAAUUCAAACUGUGAUUUCUUUGAAAGAAGGAACAUCCAUUUCCUGCCAGUGAAGAAAUUGAUUGUUUAAAGUGGCUGUUUAUUUUACUACGGUUAGCCGGAAUGACAGUUCUUGGGGAAAAAAAAAUCCACUUCUUUAUGUGUCCUUAACAUGAUAUACGCAGAGGUGGUUAUGGGAAAUUGGUUCAGCGAGAGCUGGAACAAAGACAGCUUGUGGAUUAUGGUGCUGGUUCAUUGGGCUCUUUCCCUCCAGUCAUGACACCUCAUUGUAAGUUGUUGCAAGAUAGGUCUUGAGGAUCUCUCUUUCUUCAGCCACAAUUUUAAUUCAUAAUUUUCAUUGCUGUUGGCUGGAGUAAGUUAUUGCCUUCUACAGUUAUAUUCUUUGUGCUUUCUUUGUAUAAACUUGGCAUGGCAUGGCCCAACCUAGCUAAUGCCAGGCCUAGAAUUAUGGUUUAAUUUAAACUUUGUUCAAGCCUACAAUAUCAUAAAGUUAUUUAUAAUGAAAUAUGAUGGAAUGCCAAUGGAUACACUAUAAUGUUUUUUUUUGUGAAGGUUUAACCCUAAAAUUCAGGGUUUACCCAGCUAUGAGAAUACAUACAGGCUAUCAGUAACUUUCUGAAACAUGAGCUGUGAUGAUAAGUUUAGCCAUGGUGGUUAUGGUAUGGUGUAAUAAGUAGGGUUUUACUGCAGUUGGAAACCUUUGUUGUUUGCUCGAUCAUGAAUAAUUGUUUGGUGGAGUUUCCAUGCUGAUUAUUGGACACUGAAUACUGGUUUAAUGGAUUCUUUUACUGCCCUUUUAUACUGUUAUCACAGAAUUCAUUUGCAUUAUGAAAUAUUAGGUUUACACUUAAAAAUACCUUUGAACCCUCUCAAUAAGGUCACUUGGAAAUCUUUGGGUUACCAGAUUACGUUUUCACUACUUGUGAAGUCUGUUCUUUAAGUUUGGUCAUUUUUGGUUUUUUGAUUUUGUUAUUCUGCUUUCAAUAGUGCCUUAAUAUUUGCCUAAAACUGGCAGUAUGUUAGUAUGUUGUACAAAAAAUUUUUCUAUGUUAACAUCUUUGGACAUUUUGUUUUUGCAGAUGGCAGGCAUGGCGGAAGCCAUGGUCAUGGAGGUUAUCAUCGGCAUGGUAGAGGUAUUUCUGUUUUUGAGUACUUUUAAUUGCCUUGGGUAUCUUUUAUUAGAAAAUACUUUCUCUUCAAUCUUUUUUAGUUCAGUACUUCUAACUGAAAAUUUUUUUCAAUUGCCUUGCUGACAAUUGAUUUUUCUUGAUAUGGUCAUAAAGAUUUUAACUUGAUCCUCUUUUGGAGAGCAGAUUAUCACCGGAAGCGGCACCGAGAUGAUGAUCGUCAUACAAAUGAUUCCUCGAGGAGAACCAUAGAUCAUGAAUCAAGGAGAAACUCUGAUCCUGACUCCCGACCGGAAAAGAAUCCGCGUUUUCGUGAGAGUGGCGACUCUGAUGAAGAUGAGGAGGAAUAUGAUCGGAAGCGAUGAUCUUAGCCUAUUCUUACUGCUCUAUCUUGAAUUAGCGAGAUAAUGUAAUAGCAUUUUGUACAAAGUCUAAUGAAGGGUAUUAAUUCCAAUGAAGGUAAAAUUCAUGUUCAUGAAAAAUGCAACUGCCAAGGUCUUUUUUUUCGUUUUUAAAGUUAGCUUUUGCAGAUGUUAUAAUGAAGAUGCCCUACAUUUGGGAUUGGACUUCAUUGUUGUAUGCAUUUGGAAGGGUAAAUAUCGCAAGUGGUCACUCAAGAGUGUUUUUACAAAAGUGACUGAAUUUUAAUUUUUUUUGUAA